UACGAAGGGGCUAGCGUUGUUCGGAAUUACUGGGCGUAAAGCGCGCGCAGGCGGUCUUCCAAGUCAGUGGUGAAAGCCCGGAGCUCAACUCCGGAACUGCCAUUGAAACUGUUAGACUUGAGGAUGAGAGAGGUGAGUGGAAUUCCCAGUGUAGAGGUGAAAUUCGUAGAUAUUGGGAAGAACACCGGUGGCGAAGGCGGCUCACUGGCUCAUUACUGACGCUCAGGCGCGAUAGCGUGGGGAUCAAACAGG
rnacentral:rRNA from 1 species